rnacentral:lncRNA from 1 species
GGCCUGGAGGAGAAGGAGAAUGCAAAAUGGAAGCGCGAGAUGGAAAUCGUCUCCUGCUGGGAAAGGGCAAGGCCACCCCAGACCUUGGGAGGAGGAGGACUCCACUUCCAGCCCAUCUACAGAGAGGGGUCAAAACAGCUUCUUGGUCUUGUCCCUCAUUGGAAAACUUCUAUACUGACACUGAGCCCCUCCGAAAUUGCCCAUGAGGGAGAACUUCAUGUAAUCUGACUGAGACAGGCUGCAGAGAUUGAUGGGAUGUGCUGAGCAGCAUCCUGGAAUCACUGACUUGGCCCCAAGUUCCACCGGGAAGCAGAGGGACGGAGUGAGGGUGUGAAGGAGCUAAGGAGCCCUAUCCUGACUUAUAGGACAAGCAACGGAUUGGCUUAACGCUCUUGGGCCUGCCCUACGUCUUCUGUAAGAGAGCGGGGAGUCGCCGCGAGUGGAGAAGGGUGGAGGCUGGCCAUGGGGGUCUCCACCAGCCUCCGAGCUGGAGGAGAAAGGAGAGCUCUGUCGGAACAGAGGAAGGAGGGUCGCAAAGAAGGCUGCACACCCGGCUCCCAGACAGAUCCUGGUGUCUCUCCACCCAGGAUCUCCUUCACUGCUGUCCAAACCUCAGCCCGGAAGUCCUGAUGGUGAUUAAACCUCCAUGUUUCUUGCUGCAGUUUCAGCUGGUGUUUUUAGGGACAGUGGGAGUCGGCUGGUUUUUCCUUGCUUUUUGCAGACCUGAACCCCAAGUCUGAUCAUGUUUCUGCUAGACCCUUUGAGGGCCAAGAUCCUCUUCUUCCUGGAAGAACGUUAUUCUAGAGGGGCUCUCGUUAACUGAUUUUUAGUAGAGUUGUCUUCUGCUGGGUAACACUGCUUGGGAUCUGCAGCCACCCUAGGAGGUCUUCACAUCCACCUGCCUGCCUCCAGGAGCCACAUCCAAGCGGUCUCCCGGAGACGGGGCUCUCCCUCAUUCCUGAGAGCCUCUA